GACUAUAGAAGCCAAAUUCCAAUGUGAAAAUGCACCUUUCAAUUGCACAGACUAGGUCAUAAUGGAGGUGACACUCAUAAAAGAUUUUCUAGCUCUUAGCAGAGCUGUAAACCGGGACCCCUCAUCCAGGCAGACAGCACAGAAUCUGAAAAUCUGCCUAUCAAAAGCAUCAUUCAAGCCACAAGGCUCUUCUGUUCCUGGUAAAAGGCAGGCAGGAAAAGAGGAGACAAAGAAAAAUGUUAUGAUCUGAAGAUAUGGCCCAAAUCACCAACCACGCAAUUUGUUUUCUGAGGAAAGGAAAGACCUAGUGCAACUUUAUACAAAGAGCACAUCAUUCAUCCUUGAUCGGGCAUAUUUUCUCCUCCCAGCCACUAAUCUGCUCUCUGCUCUUACAUUUGCACAUUUUUAGAAUGAUAUUAAACAUCUGAAGAGUCAUUCAGGGAGCUAAAGUUCACUGUGGUUUGAAGUCUUAUAACUACAAAAUAAUGUUGUUCUAACUGAUCUUUCACAUCAAUGCAGACAAAAGCACUUUGGUAUGUAUGUUUAAGGCUCAACCCUAUCAAAGUCAGGAG
rnacentral:lncRNA from 1 species